rnacentral:rRNA from 1 species
CAGUCGCCGCGGUAAUACCGAGGGUGCAAGCGUUAAUCGGAUUUACUGGGCGUAAAGGGCGCGUAGGUGGUUAUUUAAGUGAGAUGUGAAAGCCCCGGGCUUAACCUGGGAACUGCAUCUUAUACUGGGUAACUGGAGUGCAGUAGAGGGUAGUGGAAUUUCCGGUGUAGCGGUGAAAUGCGUAGAUAUCGGAAGGAACACCAGUGGCGAAGGCGGCUACCUGGACUGAGACUGACACUGAGGCGCGAGAGCGUGGGGAGCAAACAGGAUUAGAUACCCGCGUAGUCCCUGUCUCUUAUAC